UGGGCUUAAGUGAUCCUUCCACCUGAGCCCCACAAAAUGCUGAAAUUACAGGUGUGAGUUACUAUGUCCAGCAUCCUUGGUAUGUGCUUAAUAACCAGGACUGAACCAAUGUUUGGAGUAGAAUUAGUUUGCUUUAAUUAUUCACUGAAUGAAUGAUUACAUAAAUGACUAAAUAGAAGUUUUAAAUGCUAAAUUUCUAGACUCCAGAGUUUAGAGUGAAUUAGUGUUUGUUGUUCCUCUCUUUGCGCCCUAAAUGAGUUCUUAUCAUUUAGCUCCCACUCAUAAGCAUGCGGUAUUUGGACAUGACCUUGUUCUUUUCUAUGGCUGCAUAGUAUUCCAUGGUGUGUCUCUAUCCAGUGAGCUAAAAGUAGAACUGUCAUUCGACCCAGCAGUCCCAUUACUGGGUAUAUACCCAGAGGAACGU
rnacentral:lncRNA from 10 species